GUUGGUGAACCAGCGGAGGGAUCAUUACAGAGUUCUAAAAAGACUCCCAAACCAUUGUGAACGUUACCCGUAACAUGUUGCCUCGGCGGGCGUCCCCUCCCUGGGGGCGCGUGGCUUUCGGGCUGCCCGCCGGAGCGCCAAGAACUAUUUUGUAUUUUAGUGGCCUCUCUGAGAAAACAAGCAAAUAAGUUAAAACUUUCAACAACGGAUCUCUUGGUUCUG
rnacentral:misc_RNA from 1 species